rnacentral:rRNA from 1 species
GCAUCGAUGAAGAACGCAGCAAACUGCGAUAAGUAAUGUGAAUUGCAGAAUUUAGUGAAUCAUCGAAUCUUUGAACGCAAAUGGCGCACUUGGGCAUUCCCAGGAGCACAUCUGUCUGAGCGUCGUUUCUCACAUCCCUCCUCCAAGGAGGGGUCAUGAGGUGUCCCUUUGCUCUCCCGCGAACGGUCCCUUGAAGUGAAGCGAACCCGAGCGAGCGGAAGCCCUUCGUGGCCCGUUCUCCUCGGUGUGGUAGAUAAUAUCUCACCGGAGGGACGAGCGACGGAGCCGUGGAAGCCUGCUAAAAGGUCGUCUGGACAGGAGGACUCCCUUCUGGGGAGUUCGACCAACCAAGACCUCAGAUCAGGUGAGACUACCCGCUGAACUUAAGCAUAUCAAUAAGCGGAGGA